CACCACCGUACUGCUUUUACAUUGGUACUCCAGACGGAAGAAGUUUCAUCUGCCACCAGGGGGUUAAAAAGAAACUUCUAUGCUGUGGAGCUGACACAUAAUAGGAUUCCCCUCCCUCCCCCUUUAAAGAGCUUACUUUGUUUAAAUGGAAUUUUUUUACACUUUUUGUCUUGCAGAUGCUAAUUUCAGAUUGUGCGUAAUAUCCUCGAGCACUGAUGACACUUUUUUUUGUUUAACUUCACAUACUUUAUUACACAAGUCUGGAGCAAGUGGGGCUUGAACCCAGGUCUCUCGGUUCAGGAGUAGGGACAUUACCUCUGCGUCAUAAAUGAGUCCCAUACUUUGCUAUUUUGCCCAAGUGACAAUUGACGACAUACCAGCAUGGACAACAAGGGUCACUAGGUUGAUCUUUGACUGGAGACCUGGAGAAUAUUCUUUUCCAAUUCUGAACGAGCACACAAACAAUAAAUCAAACCCAUUGCACUAAUAUCAAAGGACCGAGAGGUUUGUCAAAGUCCGUCUUACUGAUGAUACAAUACAGAAAAAGACGGAUUCAUUUCAACAACAAAUAACAUUUCAUUUGAAUUUAAGUUACAGCCCAGAUUACACUGGGUGGUUCUUGUGAAUUAAUUGGCUGUCCUGGUGGGACAAGCAAUUGUGUUACAGAGCAUAAGCCAUUCAACUCCUGGAGAGCGCCAGUGAGCUUCUGGUAUUAGCAGCCAUGGAGGAUUUCACAGGUCAGGCAUUCGAUCGAUACAGCUAAAAGCAGCAGGGACUGUAAUGUCGACAGUCGACUUCAGAAAACGCUGAGUCGUCAUGAGAAAGGGAAUGUCCCCUUGUCAUGUGCAUCUUGCUAAGGAGUCAUAUUAACCUGGAUGCAAAA